rnacentral:rRNA from 1 species
UACGAAGGGGGCGAGCGUUGUUCGGAUUUACUGGGCGUAAAGGGCGCGCAGGCGGCUUUGUUUGUCAGACGUGAAAUCCCUCGGCUUAACCGGGGAACUGCGUCUGAUACUGGAUGGCUUGAGGUUGGGAGAGGGAUGCGGAAUUCCAGGUGUAGCGGUGAAAUGCGUAGAUAUCUGGAGGAACACCGGUGGCGAAGGCGGCAUCCUGGACCAAUUCUGACGCUGAGGAGCGAAAGCCAGGGGAGCAAACGGG